GGGGGUGUACUGGUUUUCGACGGGGGAUGAAAGGCACGGUACAGCAUGCCGAGGACGUCGGUUGGCCUCGUUAAUCAUCCGACAAACCUAUAAUUGCCGAAGAUUACUCUUACGCAAUGGCUGCCUAAUUAAAGGCGGCAACUCGAUCGCUCAGCGCGCCUGUAGGCGGUCGAGCAGCUAAGGCGCUGGCUCGCGGGAAGAACUGGCUCGCGGGUAAGAUUAAGGUUCUGGCUCCCUUCGCAGCCUGUCUGGCGGCGGCAGAGGGGGUGAGACUAAUAGACAGACUAAGCAUGUAGCGGUUCGUGUUGAUUGUCUUUCGGACAGGGGUUCAACUCCCCUCACCUCCAUGU
rnacentral:tmRNA from 1 species